CAGAGAGAAAAUAACCCUUGAGAAUGACUGGAGUUGAUUCAUCCUGUUGGGGGCAGACUGAAGAGGCCAGAGGCCAGCGCUCAGUUCCUUCUCCUGAGAGUCCCAGUACCACUGUGGAGAUUACAAAUUGUUCACCAAAAUCUGUUCUCCGUUCUUCCAUGGUAGUUGGGUACAUGGCUGAGUAUUAUUUCUUUCCUUCUGGAUCCAUUCUAAUGAGGCUUCUCUACCUCCUCAAACCAAGGAUGCUCACUGUGAUCCCAGCCAGACUCAGACCAUCAUUUCUCCAGUAUUACUGGUUACAUUACAUGGGCCUGUUCGGUGGGAGAGGAGACCACACCGAACAUGGGAACCAGGAUGAGAGAAUCAUGGGAGGUCAUCCUGGAGGCUCAGCUGCCAGAAAUCAUGGCGCUUUGAGUCAUGAAGCUCGGGAUGUGAGGUUUGCUUGGGCAGAUCUCCUACUGCAGGCCAGGAAUGUGUCAGAAACUUGCCUUAGAGAGAACACUGUCUUCAGAUGCUACAGAGCAGUGUGGUGACCAGUAGAAACUCCACACUUGAUGAGUGGCAAAUGGGACAGGGUCAGGGCUGUGGCCUUAAAGGAGCAGCCCACCUACCACCACCACCAGAUUGUACCUACGUCAAAGACUUUGAUAGCGUUUAGGAAGGAAGCUCUGGCUUGCCGCCAUUGAUACUCAGGCAUCAACUCAUUCAUGCUGGCACCAUGUUCACAAGGCCACCAGUGGCUGGGGAGGUCUUGGGAAGACCAGUCCAGUGGAAGCCCCAGUUAAAGGUAAGAGAAGCUGCUGGGUACUCUAGAGAAGUGCUUCUCAAACCUGAAUGUGAGCAUGAACCACUUAUGGAUUUUGCUAAAAGGUUGGUUCUGGUUUGGUAGGUCUGGAGUAGGGCCUGAGAUUCCACCUUCCUCUCAAGCUAUCUGAGUGUUGCUGAUGUUGCUGGCUCGAGGACUUUAUUUGAGUAAUGAGGGGCCAGACUAGCAGUGGAUCUUCAUGCUGGCUGCAAACAAUCACCUGGUGGAGUGUUAACCAACCAAAUGCCCAUCAAUGAGAGACUGGAUAAAGCAAAUAUGGCACCUCCACCAUGGAAUACUAUGCAGCCAUAAUAAAGGAUCAUGUCCUUUGCAGGGACGUGGAUGAAGCUGGAAACUGUCAUUCUCAGCAAACUGACACAAGAACAGAAAACUACCGCAUGUUCUCACUCAUAAGUGGGUGUUGAACAAUGAAAACACAUGGACACAGGGAGGGGAACAUCACACUCCGGGGCCUGUCAGGGG
rnacentral:lncRNA from 1 species